rnacentral:piRNA from 1 species
GAACUAUAGUUGGAUGCAAUUUGUGGUU